AGCAGUGCCCAGAGUCAGGGUCCUCCGCUGCCUGAGGCGUCAACAUGCCUGCCUGCAAUGUGUUUGUGCAUGUGCGUGCACACAUGGCCUAGGGGAUGCCAAAUUCCAGGGGCCAGAAAGAGCUUGGGAUAAAAUGAAACUUCAAGGGGACGGCUUUGACGUGGGCUGAGUCUACCUGUGCCAUCCAACUGGAGUCUCAAGUCCUGAGGCAGGACGUCCAGAUGCCCCAGUGCAGGGCCCUCCUGAUCAACACCUGCUCCCCUCUACUCAUUAGCAACCUCACCCACCCUACUCUCAAAGCACACUUGGCUCUCGUAUCCAGGAGCUCUGCAUCUGUAGAUUCAGCAACAGCAGAUGGAAAAUAUUCAGAAAAUAAAUUGGACGGUUAUGUUUGUAUUGAA